UACGGAGGAUGCGAGCGUUAUCCGGAUUUAUUGGGUUUAAAGGGUGCGUAGGCGGGCUUUUAAGUCGGCGGUAAAAAUUCGGGGCUCAACCCCGUCCGGCCGUUGAAACUGGGGGCCUUGAGUGGGCGAGAAGAAGGCGGAAUGCGUGGUGUAGCGGUGAAAUGCAUAGAUAUCACGCAGAACCCCGAUUGCGAAGGCAGCCUUCCGGCGCCCUACUGACGCUGAGGCACGAAAGUGCGGGGAUCGAACAGG
rnacentral:rRNA from 1 species